CUGCACGAUCUCAGUAAUUGUAGGAAAACAAAGCGUCAUAUAACUGACGGGAUCCGUAUAACUGCUCUCCAAGAUCCUCUUCAACUCUAACCAUUUUCUUCUCCGAUCAAUCCUCUACUACGCCGAGAUUCUGCCUCCUUUACGGGUACCUUUCAGCCACAAAGAGACACGGGAACUCCACAGAAUAUUUUUUCUCUUUCUUCUGGCUAUUUUUUGUCCAUCAUAUUGGCUAUUGCAGAGGUUCUAUUUGCUGCGUUUCGGGCUACUUUGAAGGAUGAGAAGCGAUCAAGAUUAAAGCGACUAUGUGAUUUGUGUUGGCUCUGCUUAAAAUAAAACUUUGUGCUAUUUGGGGAUGAUUGAGAUACAUAUAAUAUUGUACAACCAAUUGUGAGUUGAGGUGUUGCUAUGCUUUUGGAUUGAGACCCCUUUUUGGGGAAUGAUUUUGGUUAUCGAUAUGAGUCUUCAUUUGUAUCAUCGACUAACAUGAUUGACUUGCUCAUGUGCUCAUAUACUUCUGAUUGAAAGUACAACACAACUGAAGGUGGACUAUUCCUUUUGAAGCCAAGUACUGGUGCAGCAUUACCCCAGUAUGAUGUAACAUCUCUUGAUAAUUGGUGGUCCCUGUCAACAAUUUUAUAGAGAAAAUUCGAUUAAAUUCAUCUAUUUGUUUUUUUGGUUUAAUUCCUCUGAAUGUGAUUGCUAAAUGUAGUCUACAAUUUAUA